rnacentral:tRNA from 1 species
UUUAAUAUGGUGUUUAAGCAUUUUACAUUUUGGUUGUAAAGGAGGUUAGAUUACCUAUUAAAU